rnacentral:tRNA from 2 species
AUUGAAAUAGUUUAUAAAAAUAUUAAAUUGUGAAUUUAAAGAAAUAUUUUCAAUA